CACCGCCCGUCACAUCACGAAAGCAGGUUGCACUAGAAGCCGGUUCGCUGACCGUAAGGAGGCAGCCGUCCGAACGGUGUGGCUUGUGAUUGGGUG
rnacentral:rRNA from 1 species